rnacentral:Y_RNA from 1 species
AGCUGGUCUAAGUGCCUUGGUGUUUACAACUAAUUGAUCACAAGCAGUUACAGAUUCCUUUGUUCCUUCUCCACUCCCACUGCUUCACAUGAUUAGCCUUAA